GGUUUAUUCAAAUUUCUGCCCUAUCAACUUUCGAUUGUAAGAUAGAGGCUUACAAUGGUCUUAACGGGUAACGGGGAAUUAGGGUUCUAUUCCGGAGAGGGAGCCUGAGAAACGGCUACCACAUCCAAGGAAGGCAGCAGGCGCGCAAAUUACCCAAUCCCGACCGGGGAGGUAGUGACAAUAAAUACUGAUACAGGGCUCUUUUGGGUCUUGUAAUUGGAAUGAGUACAAUUUAAAUCCCUUAACGAGGAACAAUUGGAGGGCAAGUCUGGUGCCAGCAGCCGCGGUAAUUCCAGCUCCAAUAGCGUAUAUUAAAGUUGUUGAGGUUAAAAAGCUCGUAGUUG
rnacentral:rRNA from 1 species